rnacentral:rRNA from 1 species
GAGUUUGAUCAUGGCUCAGGAUGAACGCUGGCGGCAUGCCUAAUACAUGCAAGUCGAACGGACGGAAGAGAAAAGCUUGCUUUUUUUGGAAGUCAGUGGCGAACGGGUGAGUAACACGUAGGUAACCUGCCCAUGUGCCCGGGAUAAUUUCUGGAAACGGAAACUAAAACCGGAUAGGUAGGGAUCUCGCAUGAGGACCUUAUUAAAGGGGCUGCGGCCCUGAACAUGGAUGGACCUGCGGUGCAUUAGCUGGUUGGUGGGGUAACGGCCUACCAAGGCGACGAUGCAUAGCCGACCUGAGAGGGCGAACGGCCACAUUGGGACUGAGACACGGCCCAAACUCCUACGGGAGGCAGCAGUAGGGAAUUUUCGUCAAUGGGGGGAACCCUGAACGAGCAAUGCCGCGUGAGUGAAGACGGUUUUCGGACUGUAAAGCUCUGUUGUAAGAGAAAAACGGCCGACAUAGGGAAUGAUGUCGGAGUGAUGGUAUCUUACCAGAAAGUCACGGCUAACUACGUGCCAGCAGCCGCGGUAC